rnacentral:rRNA from 1 species
GACGAACGCUGGCGGCGUGCUUAACACAUGCAAGUCGAACGGAAAGGCCCUGCUUUUGUGGGGGGCUCGAGUGGCGAAGGGGUGAGUAACACGUGAGUAACCUGCCCUUGACUUUGGGAUAACUUCAGGAAACUGGGGCUAAUACCGGAUAGGAGCUCCUGCUGCAUGGUGGGGGUUGGAAAGUUUGGGCGGUUGGGGAUGGACUCGCGGCUUAUCAGCUUGUUGGUGGGGUAGUGGCUUACCAAGGCUUUGACGGGUAGCCGGCCUGAGAGGGUGACCGGCCACAUUGGGACUGAGAUACGGCCCAGACUCCUACGGGCGGCACCAGUGGGGAAUAUUGCACAAUGGGCGGAAGCCUGUUACAGACACCCCGCGUGCGGGAUGACGGCCUUCGUGUUGUAAACCGCUUUCGCCUGUGACGAAGCGUUAGUGACGGUAAUGGGUAAAGAAGCACCGGCUAACUACGUG